CAACCUUUCUCCGGCAGAUUUUGCUGCUUAUGGCUUGUGCAUUGUAAAUCGUACAAAAUAGCCUAUUAUCUCCCCAAAAACUCGUAUAUAAAUAAAUAAUAUAAAACACGUUAUAGACUAAUUCUUUUUUGAAGUCUGGACUAUAUUUUCGGGAAUUUAGAAAAAUAUAAAGAGAUGGUUCAACACAGGUCUAAUGAAUAGCCUAUUUAUAUGAGAAUUUAUGUUUUGACUGUGAAUGUCACGUCGAUAACGCUGGAAUUGCUCUAAUGUGAUGCUGGUCUUUGGAAUACAGGUACUUGCUUUUUUUGUCCAAAGUUGUGAUGCAAGUUUUUGAAACACAAAAAAAAAAAAAAAAAACCCACACAAUUUCAAAACUUUUUGUGAACGUUCAUAAAAUAUUGUGCUUCACAUUUUCAUUAAUUUACUGUUUAUUUUUUUGUUAUUUAUUUAUUUAUUAUAAAGAAGGUGUGUUAUCUAGUUAGGUGUGUUAAUCUGGCCCUCUUAACUGCCCAAGUUUCUCUUGGACCCUUAGGGAAAUUAAUUGCCCUCCCCUGGUCUACAUGCAAGCAGGCUUUCUAAUAAAAUAAGGUGGUUGAGUGUUCAUUAAAAAAUAAAUAAAUAUAUAUAUAUAAAAGUGCUGCUUUAUCCGACAAUAACGUGCAGGGUGUCAUAGAACUACAUUUAAAUAAAUUAAAAUUACAUUAAAUAAAUUAAAUGUAUGAUUUAAUAAUAAUUUAAUUAGAUUUAAGUUAUUUAUUUAUGUAAUGUUCUAAUUUUAUAUGAUUAUUUAUGUAAAUUCUGCGUGACUGUGACGUGUUUUAAUGCGUGCGUGCUGAACGUUCGAGCCACGUUCAAACGCUGGAGCUGAGGAAGGUGCCAUGGAAACGGAGUGGCAACACAACGACUGACAAGCAGGAAGCUCUGUUUCUCGCUGCUGUUUUUACUGUUUUCGAAGAAAAACAAAAGCACGGCAAGAUGGGAGGCUCCAAGAUUUCACAAUUUCUGAAGGGAGCUGCAGAUGGAGAAGUAAGGAACACAAGUGAACAGACUUAGAGCGGACCUCCUGUCGGACAACAUCUCCCAAGCACAAUGAACAAUAUGGUUGCUGAAUUUUCAGCAUCAUUACUCCAGUCUUCAGAGUCACAUGAUCCUUCAGAAAUCGUUCUAAUAUGCUGAUUUGCUGCUCAAGAAACAUUUCUGAUUAUUAUCAAUGUUGGACCUCAGGACCUCAGACUGGGCCGAAGGUUUACCUUUCAACAAGACAAUGACCCUAAGCACACAGCUAAAAUAACGAAGGAGUGGCUUCACAACAACUUUGUGACUGUUCUUGAAUGGCCCAGCCAGAGCCCUGACUUAAACCCAAUUGAGCAUCUCUGGAGAGACCUAAAAAUGGCUGUCCACCAACGUUUACCAUCCAACCUGACAGAACUGGAGAGGAUCUGCAAGGAGGAAUGGCAGAGGAUCCCCAAAUCCAGGUGUGAAAAACUUGUUGCAUCUUUCCCAAAAAGACUCAUGGCUGUAUUAGAUCAAAAGGGUGCUUCUACUAAAUACUGAGCAAAGGGUCUGAAUACUUAGGACCAUGUGAUAUUUCAGGUUUUCUUUUUUAAUAAAUCUGCAAAAAUGUCAACAAUUCUGUGUUUUUCUGUCAAUAUGGGGGGCUGUGUGUGCAUUAAUGAGGAAAAAAAUGAACUUAAAUCUUGAAAUAUAUCAACUUCUAUUUUCAUUUGAAUGAAAAACAUGAGGGCUUUUCACACAUGAAAUAGUUAACACUGGGUGAAUGUAAACCCCAGGUAAACUGAAUACUGGUUUAUCUUGCUUCAUGUUUCACACAGAAUAUAAUUUACCUGGGGUUGACAAUUAAUCCUGGGUUUUCAUAUGCUGCUGUUUUACAUUGUACAUUACUAAACCCCAGGUAAACAUCCUUAUAUGUACAUUUUCUGUAUCAGUGUCACUGAUUGGACAGACACUGCAUGCGAUGUGAUACAAAAAUGCCCAAGCACAUCCUCAUAUUACAUACAGCUGACUUUACUAUCAAGUUUAUCCUGAAUGUACUUUUUAGAUUAUAAAAGAAAUAUACAGUUUCUUUUUGACCCUGGCUGUUGUGUUUUCUGUCAGCAUUUGACAUUUUUGACAUCCUGUCCAAUGCUGAAUUUAAUUUACUGUUUUUAUGCAGUGCUUAUUUUUGCAGUGACUGUCCAAAGCACUUGAAUAUGAGGCAGGCAAUUGGUUGUCUGUCUAUUGAUAAAGGGUUAACAAUGCUAAAGCUGUAGAAACCCUUCUCUGGAGUAGGCUUUCAUUACACCAAGUUAAAGUGGUGCUAAUCCCCAUUACAAGUGUGAAAUGUUUCUUUACAUGGGGUUAAAAGUGGUGUUUACACUGUACAUAUUUAUUCAUUUAUUGGGGAGGCAUAUAUGGACUUGGUUCCAAUUGAUGAUCUGUUAACAUUGUAUUUUUCCCCUCCAUGUGCAUGUCCCUUCAUACAAAUAUGAUUUAUCCUGUUAGAGAAUUUUGCAGUUAAAAGGUAUCUCUUUAUCCCUUUCUCUCUCUCUGGUCAUUUGACUAUAAAUGAACUUUUUCACAGGAAACAUUUGUACACUUCUCUCAAGAAGAAGCCACAGAUAACAGAAGAUCCCUGUCUGCACUGCAGUCAGAUGGCUUUGCAACAACUAAAAGUCUUCAAAGGUUUAGUGGAAGAGCCAUGCUUUCUAAAAUUGAAAGAGGAAGACCAGGAAAAAGUCCUUCUUCAGCUUUCACAGUCUGAAACAGAUGAUGAUCGACAACUGGCCAAAGAGCUUUAGCCUUUCGCUUCCAAAUUAAGGAUGAUACUUUUUUUUUUUUUUUUUUUUUUUAGUAUAUUAUGUCUUUGCUACUUAAAUGGAAAAGAACAUUUUAUCAAAAUUUAAUAUAUUUUGUGUUUAGAUUUUUGGGUUUGAUGGAUCUAAUUUUGCUUGCUUCAAUCAAUCCUGUGUAGAAUUGUGUAAUGUGUAUGAAAAAAUGCUUAAUUCUGAAAUGGUUGAGUAAAAAUAUUU